rnacentral:rRNA from 1 species
GAUGAACGCUGGCGGCGUGCCUAAUACAUGCAAGUCGAGCGAACAGACGAGGAGCUUGCUCCACUGACGUUAGCGGCGGACGGGUGAGUAACACGUGGAUAACCUACCUAUAAGACUGGGAUAACUUCGGGAAACCGGAGCUAAUACCGGAUAAUAUAUUGAACCGCAUGGUUCAAUAGUGAAAGACGGUUUUGCGGUCACUUAUAGAUGGAUCCGCGCCGCAUUAGCUAGUUGGUAAGGUAACGGCUUACCAAGGCGACGAUGCGUAGCCGACCUGAGAGGGUGAUCGGCCACACUGGAACUGAGACACGGUCCAGACUCCUACGGGAGGCAGCAGUAGGGAAUCUUCCGCAAAGGGCGAAAGCCUGACGGAGCAACGCCGCGUGAGUGAUGAAGGUCUUCGGAUCGUAAAACUCUGUUAUUAGGGAAGAACAAAUGUGUAAGUAACUAUGCACGUCUUGACGGUACCUAAUCAGAAAGCCACGGCUAACUACGUG